CUCCUCUCCGACAUUUGCAAUCACAAAUGCCUUCUCUAUUUCUUUCACCCAAGUUUGGGAUUCUAUUGGGUCCAUAGUUCCUUUGAACUCUGGUGGACCUAUGUUCUUAAAAUCCUUAAACAUAGUAGCAUGUACUACCGCAGGAUUAAUAGGUAUGUUCGCGCCAGUUCUAUUAAAUGAAGCUUUUAAUUAACAAACUCUUGCAUUGGGUUAACAAGUACCCCUUAUUGUUGGUUCUCAUUAUGAGAUUUUGCUUCCUGGUUUCGUUAUCUUCUU
rnacentral:lncRNA from 1 species